GCAAGUCGAACGGAGCAGUUAAUGAGAACUCGGUGGAUUUGGAUCGCUAGUGGCGGACGGGUGAGUAACGCGUGAGCAAUCCUGCCUUUCGAGAGGGGGAUAACAGUCGGAAACGACUGCUAAUACCGCAUGAAAUCAGUAGUACGGCAUCGUACAAUGAUCAAAGGAGCAAUCCGCUGAAAGAUGAGCUCGCGUCCCAUUAGCUAGUUGGUGAGGUAACGGCCCACCAAGGCAACGAUGGGUAGCCGGACUGAGAGGUUGAACGGCCACAUUGGGACUGAGACACGGCCCAGACUCCUACGGGAGGCAGCAGUGGGGAAUAUUGCGCAAAAUGGGGGAAACCCUGACGCAGCAACGCCGCGUGAAGGAUGAAGGUUUCGGAUUGUAAACUUCUUUAAUUAGGGACGAAAUUUUGACGGUACCUAAAGAAUAAGCUCCGGCUAACUACGUGCCAGCCGCGGC
rnacentral:rRNA from 1 species